AUGAACGCUGGCGGCGUGCCUAAUACAUGCAAGUCGAGCGAACAGACGAGGAGCUUGCUCCUCUGACGUUAGCGGCGGACGGGUGAGUAACACGUGGAUAACCUACCUAUAAGACUGGGAUAACUUCGGGAAACCGGAGCUAAUACCGGAUAAUAUAUUGAACCGCAUGGUUCAAUAGUGAAAGACGGUUUUGCUGUCACUUAUAGAUGGAUCCGCGCCGCAUUAGCUAGUUGGUAAGGUAACGGCUUACCAAGGCAACGAUGCGUAGCCGACCUGAGAGGGUGAUCAGCCACACUGGAGCUGAGACACGGUCCAGACUCCUACGGGAGGCAGCAGUAGGGAAUCUUCCGCAAUGGGCGAAAGCCUGACGGAGCAACGCCGCGUGAGUGAUGAAGGUCUUCGGAUCGUAAAACUCUGUUAUUAGGGAAGAACAAAUGUGUAAGUAACUAUGCACGUCUUGACGGUACCUAAUCAGAAAGCCACGGCUAACUACGUG
rnacentral:rRNA from 1 species